UCCCUACGGGAGGCAGCAGUGGGGGAUAUUGCACAAUGGGGGGAACCCUGAUGCAGCGACGCCGCGUGGGUGAAGAAGCGCCUCGGCGCGUAAAGCCCUGUCAGCAGGGAAGAAAAUGACGGUACCUGAAGAAGAAGCCCCGGCUAACUACGUGCCAGCAGCCGCGGUAAUACGUAGGGGGCAAGCGUUAUCCGGAUUUACUGGGUGUAAAGGGGGCGCAGACGGAGAGACAAGUCAGAUGUGAAAUCCACGGGCUCAACCCGUGAACUGCAUUUGAAACUGUUUCCCUUGAGUGUCGGAGAGGU
rnacentral:rRNA from 1 species